rnacentral:lncRNA from 1 species
AAAAGGUAAAUACAUACCUUUUCAUUCAGAAAGCUGUUCCCUGAAAGAGUUGGGAGGCUUUGAAUUCCCUUCAUCACUGGGAGGAGAGCAGGAGCCAUACACUGUGUGUGAGGGGUGUGGGGACCAUUCCUACUGUCUCCCUCCCUCUGUUCUCCCCUAAAUGAUCCUGAGCCAGGAAGAGUGAUGCAGAAUGUCUCUCACCCUGUGGAAGAGUUGGUCAGGCUGGUCCUCAGACAACCAGGGAAGCUCUUGGGGUCCUGGAGAAUAGGCACAUAGCAGAUAAAAGGAGUUCUUAACCAAACUUCCCUAGAACGGAGGGAGCUAACAAGAAAGAACUUUGGAAAUCUACCCUCCUCUUUCCCUGUCACUGCCAGGAAUGUCACCAUGAGAGCAGUUUCAGUUAAUGAGCAAACUCCUCAGACAAGGCAGGAAGGCAGCUCUUGGGCCUCACUGUCAAGCACAGGAAGCGACUGGAUUCCACUUGCCCGGUGUAGGGAUGACAGCAGGUCAGCUCCUCUCCAAUUACCCAGAAUGGGUGAGAGUUGAAGAUCUAGAAACAGAUUGCUGAGGCAGGAGAACAAAUGGUGACCCCUGCGCCUGCCCACGUUCCUGGAGGAAAACAGGAGCCAGUAGAGAGUGAGCUGACUCGGUGUGACUCCCUUAACAUUGACACAAAAGAGAAACUAUCAUAGGUCAUGGGUACCAGCAUCCCCAGUUCUCAUCAGGAAGCAGUACCCCAGGGCACAUGUCCCACAGACUGCUGAAAGAGAUCUUGCUCAGAGGCUUCACAAGAAGAUGAAGGGACCCAGGAGGAGAUUGUGGGUCCAUGGGAACUGUCAGGUAUGCUCAGGUCUCUCUCCACCCCCCUUGACUCCUGCCUGGGCUCAUCUCUAGAGAUGCCCCUGGUCUGGCUGUGCAGAACACUGGAUUGUCACUUGGAAGCAGGAAGCAGUUGUCCAAGGCUGCCUGAGCAGUGGGGAGUCUCAGAGUUAAGGGCUGGAUCUAGGACAGACAUGGCUUCAGCAGGAGGGGAUGUGGACUGGGGGGUCUUCCAGCUGGGCUAACCCACAGGCAUCAGGGGACAGGCAAGAGGCGACCAGGACUUCCCUAACCACCAGAAAGUGAUUCAGCUAAAUUGAGGAAGACUUCCGUUUCAGCAGAAUGCAUUUUCCACUAUGGUAAGAGCUUUCUCACCCACGGGCUCUAGAAGAUCAGAGUCCUCCAAAGAGGGUUUGGAGAGUUUCGGUUUGAAUAGUCAAUGCUGAUUCUUAAUCAUUAUUUUGAAGAGGCAGCUCUUGGUUUUCCAGCAGGUGGCUGGGUCUCAGGGCCGUCAAGCCAGGUGUGUAUGUGAAUACAUGGGUGCAUACCGUGUGAGCAUUUGUCACCUUGGAGGCCAGGAAGGAAGGCAGCCAUGAUCAUUCCUUUGGUCAGUGGUAAGCUCUGUCCAGGUCUGCAGAAUGACCUAUAUAUGCCACCCUCACAACCCUGCCAUGAGAGCUAAUAGCUACACUGAAGUUUCACUGUGUGCCAGGCAGCA